AACGGUGCCCUCAGAAUUCCAUUUCGAGCACCGGAACCUCGUUUGUUGACCAAAGUCAACUCUUGAUCAAAAUUUCACAAUUUUUGCAACUUAGGACCUCAAAUCUUCGUUUUAACUCCAAAUUCGACUCCGUAAAUUCUCAUAGACCCGUUUCGACAUGCUAAAACUGUUGGAAUCGACGGAAAUCCGAUUCGAGUCUCGAAACUCCAAAUGACUCGAAAUAGCACUUUUAACCAAACUUUAACUCUUAAAAACUCAACUUUCCAAAAACUCAACUUUUCAUCAAUUUUCCUUCAAACCAACUUCGAAAAUACAACAAUUAGGACUCGGGGC
rnacentral:lncRNA from 1 species